rnacentral:rRNA from 1 species
GAUGAACGCUAGCGACGUGCCUAAGGUAUGCAAGUCGAACGAUUCUUUUGAUCUCGCAAGAGUGAAAAAGAGUAGUGGCAGACGGCUGAGUAAUACGUAGGAACCUCCCCCAAAGACGAGAAUAGCCACCCGAAAGGGUGAUUAAUACUCGAUAGUCCCGCAAGGGUAAAUGCUUUUGCGCUUUGGGAUGGGCCUGCGGCCUAUCAGGUAGUUGGUAAGGUAAUGGCUUACCAAGCCUAUGACGGGUAGGGGGUCUGAGAGGAUGAUCCCCCAGACUGGGACUGAGACACGGCCCAGACUCCUACGGGAGGCAGCAAUUAGGAAUCGUGCACAAUGGACGCAAGUCUGAUGCCGCGACGUCGCGUGGAGGAUGAAGGUCUUCGGAUCGUAAACUCCUUUUAUCUAGGAACAAGUUCUGAGUGAACUAGAUGAAUAAGUGCCUGCUAACCACGUGCCAGAAGCAUCGGUGAUACAUGGGGCACAAGCGUUAUCCGGAUUUACUGGGCGUAAAGAGAUGCGUAGGCGUCCUCUUAAGUUACUUGUUAAAUCUCCAGGCUCAACCUGGAAACCGCAAGUAAUACUGGGAGGAUUGAGUCAGGUAGAGGAAAGGGGAAUUCCUGGUGGAGCGGUAAAAUGCGUAGAUAUCAUGAGGAACACCAAUGGCGAAGGCACCUUUCUGGGCCUGCACUGACGCUAAGGCUCGAAAGCGUGGGGAGCAAAACGGAUUAGAUACCCGUGUAGUCCACGCUGUAAACAAUCCCUGCUAGAUGUCGGGUUUAGACAUGUGAUUUACUUCGGUAAGUCAAAAGUCGUGAUUCGGUGUCGUAGUUAACACGUUAAGCAGGGCGCCUGGGGAGUACGGCCGCAAGGUUAAAACUCAAAGGAAUUGACGGGGACCCGCACAAGCAGUGGAGCGCCUGGUUUAAUUCGAUGAUCAGCGAAGAACCUCACCUAGGCUUGAACUGUAGCUGCACUCCUGAUGAAAGUCGGGACGCCUUCGAGGGUGCUACAGAGGUGCUGCAUGGCUGUCGUCAGCUCGUGUCGUGAGAUGUAGGGUUAAGUCCCGUAACGAGCGCAACCCCUAUCUAGUGUUAUAUAUUUCGCUAGAGACUGCCCCGCCUAAACGGGGAGGAAGGAGGGGAUGACGUCCAGUCAUCAUAUCCCUUAUGUCUAGGGCUACACAGACGCUACAAUGGCUAUUACAAUGGGCUGCCAAACCGCGAGGUGGAGCUAAUCCCAUCAAAAAUAGCCCCAGUUCAGAUUGUAGGCUGCAAUUCGCCUGCAUGAAGUCGGAAUUGCUAGUAAUCGCGCAUCAGCAUGGCGCGGUGAAUACGUUCUCGGGUCUUGUACACACCGCCUGUCAAGGCACGGGAGUCACUUUGGCUCGAAGUCCCCUUCGUCGCUCUUCUUCGUUAAAACUUCGAAGAGCUACGGAGGGGGCCGAAAGUCAAGGGGGCGACCAGGCUUAAGUCAUAACAAGGUAGCCGUAGGGGAAUC